rnacentral:lncRNA from 1 species
AACGUCAAGAGCAGCAGUCGCAACAGCAGUCCCAGCAGCAACAACAUCAAUCCCAGCAACAGCAUCAGUCCCAGCAACAGCAGCAAUCUCAGUCACAACCUCAAUUACAACAUCAGCAACAGCAGCAGCAACAAUCACAGUCACAACCUCAGUUACAGCAGCAACCACAACAACAGCAGCAGCAGCAGCAAUCUCAGACACAACCUCAGUUGCAGCAACAGCAGCAAGGGAGGGCAGGUGAUCUUCCACUUAAUAGCAUGUGUAACAUGGUCAACCAUCCGUUAAUGAGGCGGCCAGGUG